GAGACUCUGUGCGCGUGCAUAUCAAUAAGCGGAGGAAAAGAAACUAACAAGGAUUCCCCUAGUAACGGCGAGUGAAGCGGGAAGAGCAUCAAAUUUGAAAUCUUAAAGGGUUUCCCUUUACGAAUUGUAGUUUAAAGAAGUGUUUUCUGUUGGAGUUUCGGUAAAAGUUCUUUGGAAUAGGACAUCAUAGAGGGUGAGAAUCCCGUAUUUGACUCGUUACUUUCCAGCUGUGUGAUACACUUUCAAAGAGUCGGAUUGUUUGGGAAUGCAGUCCAAAGAUGGGUGGUAAAUUUCAUCUAAAGCUAAAUAUUGGCGAGAGACCGAUAGCGAACAAGUACCGUGAGGGAAAGAUGAAAAGAACUUUGAAAAGAGAGUUAAACAGUACGUGAAAUUGUCAAAAGGGAAGCGUUUGACACCAGUGUUGUUUAGUUGAAAAUCAAUUCAAUAAUUUUUGAUUCUAAGUAGUAUUGACUUCAUCAGCUUGCUGCUUUCUUCUCAGGAAAUUAUUGAAUGCACUUUUCAGUUAACAAGUCAACAUCAAUUUCUUUUGUUGUAAAAGGGUAAGAGGAAGGUGGCUUAGCGCUUCGGCGUCAAGUGUUUAUAGCCUUUUAUCCUCUGCAAUCGGAGAGAUUGAGGUACAUGCAGCGUAGAUCUCUUCGGGGUUAGAUACACUUGGUGCUAAGCUAUAGCCUUGUAUAGACAACUUGUUGACUAUGCUCAGUCAUGUAGCUUACUCGCUGAUGCUAUUUUACCUACGCUUAGGAUGUUGACAGCAGUAUAGACUGU
rnacentral:rRNA from 1 species